GAUGAACGCUGGCGGCGUGCUUAACACAUGCAAGUCGAGCGAGUGAGUUCUUCGGAACGAUCUAGCGGCGGACGGGUGAGUAACACGUGGGCAGCCUGCCUCAUAGAGGGGAAUAGCCUCCCGAAAGGGAGAUUAAUACCGCAUAAAAUUAUCGAGUGGCAUCACAUGAUAAUCAAAGGAGUAAUUCGCUAUGAGAUGGGCCCGCGGCGCAUUAGCUAGUUGGUGAGGUAACGGCUCACCAAGGCGACGAUGCGUAGCCGACCUGAGAGGGUGAUCGGCCACAUUGGGACUGGGACACGGCCCAGACUCCUACGGGAGGCAGCAGUGGGGAAUAUUGCACAAUGGGGGAAACCCUGAUGCAGCAACGCCGCGUGAGUGAUGAAGGUCUUCGGAUUGUAAAGCUCUGUCUUUGGGGACGAUAAUGACGGUACCCAAGGAGGAAGCCACGGCUAACUACGUGCCAGCAGCCGCCGUAA
rnacentral:rRNA from 1 species